ensembl:lincRNA 6330403K07Rik RIKEN cDNA 6330403K07 gene
ACCCAGGGCAUAGAAAUACUGCUGCAGUCCGGGCCACCGCCCACUGCACUGCGACCCAGCAGGGACUUCGCCUCUUAGUCUCAGCAGCUUAUCUGCCCGUGCUCUGCGCCCAUGGCUAAAGGUCCCUUUUCGCGCAAGCCCUGGGGUCCAGAGCAGAUGUAUUUCGAUUCUGACCCUGAGUACGAGGGCCUGUUCGAUAAGCCUCCCCUGGAGGAGGGCCACACUGCGCGUGCACCUAAGUCUGCAUCCUCGGCUGGCAGGAAAUCUGGUCGGCGUUCGAGUGGGAGGGCUCCGGGGACCCGCGCUGGGCUGUCCCGAAAGGCCGCCGUGCGUCCAGAGCCCAAGGAAGAAGAGCCUCCAGUGGAAGAGGGCUGCUAUCUUGACCACUUCCCGCACCUCUCCAUCUUCAUCUACGCGGCCAUCGCCUUCUCCAUCACCUCCUGCAUCUUCACCUAUAUCCAUUUGCAGCUUGCCUAAGCUGCCAGGGCCCCGACGGGGUGGGCGCAGAGUCGAGGGGAGGGGAGGGGAGAGGAAUGAGAAGCGUAGCCUUUUGUUUCCGAAACGCGCUGCACCCCCUUCAUCUUAGCAUUCGAUGCUUCUUUUCUUUGUUGUCGCUUUGUCUAACUGUUCAUCAGACGGUCCAGAGUCGCUGCAGGCAAUAAAAUAGCUGUGCUGCUUGCACCCGUACAUUGAGUGCAAUUAGUAUAAUCCUGGAUUGAAUUGAACCCAGUUUGUAAUUAGGAUGUCUCUGUAUCCUACCACUUUGUGACGUGAGGGCCUAGCAUUUUUGUGUUUGUAGAGCAGAGUCCAGCCUUCUGUUGUUUAAAGGAUGAACCAGACCCGAGUCUGCGGCCUCCCUGAGAAGGUACCGCAAGGAGAAUCAGCACCCUGGCUCGGAGUGCUGGAGCCUCAUGAUGCUGCGUCACACCGGGAUGAGCCAGCUGUGCCUAGUUCUUUUGGUUAGGACUCUGAGCACCAAGCUGGUGGACCUGGGAGAGCAGCGGAUAUGGCUGGCUGCUGGAGGAGGUUUUGUGGCUACCAGAACUGACCACCAGAGAGUCAACGCUCAAGAUGGGUUUUUGGACUGUGUGGAAAAGGAGACCACAAGUCUUCAGAGAUGGAGGCCUAGAUAGAAUUCGUGUGUUCCAUGAGAUGAGACUGAGGGCUUUCCUUUGCUGCGGCCCAUAGGAGGACUGUGCUAGAGAAUUCUAUGGUGACUUCAUUUCAGCCUGGAGGCCUUCUAAAGCUGUGAUACCAAGAUGAAGAGGCUGGGACUAAGGACUGUCAGUAACAGAGUUCCUGCUGAAAUCUGUCAUCUCAGACUCAAAAAAGUAAAUACCAGAACUCGCGUUUGCAGGUUAUUCACCUACCCACUGUUUGUUUAUUCAUGUCAGCUGUUCAAAUGCAAAACUUUUUAACACUGCUAUACUCUGUGGAAAUGUCUAUAAUUGCAGCAUGUCUGAUGGAAUAAAUCAUAUUCUCAGUGUCCUCUGUA